ACUUUAGUGUAUAUAUAUCUCCAGUGUGUUGAUCCCCAAAACCCACUUCUUCCUCUGAUCAAAUUCAAACCCAUUUCCUCUGUUUCACCAAGUCCAAGAAAGAACCCUCCUUUCAUGGAAGAAACACUCCCAAUGUUGAGCUCUCGCCGGCCGGAGCAGACUCCGGUGGGUCUUGACAACCUCCCCAAAAGCCCAAGAGUCCCAAUGGAGUUCCUCUCAAGGUCUUGGAGUGCUUCUGCUCUUGAAGUCUCCAAAGCUCUGUCUCAACCACCCCCUGUUCCUCAAUGCAUGAACUCUAAGUCCACCCACAACUCUUCUUCUUGCACCACCACCACAGCAGCUUCUAUACCCGAAGAUGUAGCCGGAGAAUCUGAAGAGACUCCAGUUCUGUCUGGGAAUCAAUUCUACUUUGCUACCUCUGCUACUUCUCAGUUGGUCCUGGACCGCAUUAUGUCACAGUCCAUGAGAGAGGAAGUGUCACCAUUAACAUCAGGGAGGCUUUCACACAGCUCUGGACCAUUGAACGCCGGAGGCUCAUUUGAGACUGAUAGCCCUCCUGUUUCUCCAUCGGAGGAGUUCGACGACGUCGUUAAGUUCUUCCGCAACCACAACAGCAUAAACCAGCUGUUCAACAACGGCAGUCGGAGCAGCGCUGUAAAUGUCAGUAGUACCCCUGCUACCGGGGGAGCCAAGACAGUUGGGAGAUGGUUGAAGGAUCGAAAAGAGAAGAAAAAGGAGGAGACUAGAGUCCACAAUGCUCAAGUCCACGCAGCCGUUUCAGUUGCCGCAGUGGCUGCUGCUGUAGCUGCCAUUGCGGCAGCCACAGCCGCUUCUUCUUCAACCUCAUCAAGAAAGAACAACGAACAAGCGGCCAAGACGGAUAUGGCUGUGGCAUCUGCUGCUACAUUGGUAGCUGCACAAUGUGCUGAAGCUGCAGAGGCGAUGGGAGCUGAGCAUGACCAUCUUACUUCUGUGGUUAGCUCUGCAGUCAAUGUUCGCUCUCAUGAUGAUAUUACCACUCUCACUGCUGCCGCUGCCACAGCUUUAAGAGGUGCAGCGACUCUCAAGGCAAGGGCAAUGAAGGAGGUGUGGAACAUAGCAGCAGUGAUACCAGUGGAAAAAGGAAUGGGAAUCGGGGUCUGUGGUAAAGGCAAUAACAACAGCAAUGGCAGCUUUAGUAGCAGUGAAGAGCUUGUCCCUGCUCCUAACACUUUUCUUGGGGCCUCUAACCAAGACCUGCUUGCUAGGGGAACUGAACUCCUCAAACGCACCCGAAAAGGUGAUCUUCACUGGAAAGUAGUAUCUGUUUAUAUUCAUCGAACAGGCCAGGUGAUGCUGAAAAUGAAGAGCAAACAUGUUGCAGGAACAUUCACCAAAAAGAAAAAGAAUGUUGUGUUGGAAGUGUGCAAGAACAUGCCGGCAUGGCCUGGGAGGCACUUGUUCGAGGGUGGAGAGCAGCGCCGUUACUUUGGACUGAAAACAGAAUCGCGAGGAGUCGUGGAGUUUGAGUGCAAGAAUCAGAGGGAACAUGACGUCUGGACUCAUGGAGUUUCGAGGCUGCUCUCUAUUGUAGCCGAGAGAAAGAACAUGCAUUAAUAUGAUUGAAAUCCUAGCAGAGCAGUAGCCUUGUAAUCUCUUGAGUAGAAGGUAGAUGAAUAAUGUUAGGUGAUGUUAUCUAGGGCUAUAAUAUAAAAGGUCAUGAGCAAAAGCACUGAAUAGUAUUCGGAAGCACAUGUACAAUAUUGAUGAAAUUCUUUGUGGGAACAUAUCUUGCUUAGUUUCAUAUUUUCAAUUCAAAAACCAUAGUUAAG